UACGGGGGGGGCAAGCGUUGUUCGGAAUUACUGGGCGUAAAGGGCUCGUAGGUGGCCAACUAAGUCAGACGUGAAAUCCCUCGGCUUAACCGGGGAACUGCGUCUGAUACUGGAUGGCUUGAGUUCGGGAGAGGGAUGCGGAAUUCCAGGUGUAGCGGUGAAAUGCGUAGAUAUCUGGAGGAACACCGGUGGCGAAGGCGGCAUCCUGGACCGAUACUGACACUGAGGAGCGAAAGCCAGGGGAGCAAAGCGGGAUUAGAAACCCU
rnacentral:rRNA from 1 species